GACGAACGCUGGCGGCGUGCUUAACACAUGCAAGUCGAACGGAAAGGCCCUGCUUUUGUGGGGUGCUCGAGUGGCGAACGGGUGAGUAACACGUGAGUAACCUGCCCUUGACUUUGGGAUAACUUCAGGAAACUGGGGCUAAUACCGGAUAGGAGCUCCUGCUGCAUGGUGGGGGUUGGAAAGUUUCGGCGGUUGGGGAUGGACUCGCGGCUUAUCAGCUUGUUGGUGGGGUAGUGGCUUACCAAGGCUUUGACGGGUAGCCGGCCUGAGAGGGUGACCGGCCACAUGGGACCUGGGAUACGGCCCAGACUCCAACGGGGGGCAGCAGUGGGGAAUAUUGCACAAUGGGCGGAGGCCGGAUGCAGCAACGCCGGGUGCGGGAUGACGGCCUUCGGGCGGUAAACGGCUUUCGCCUGUGACGAGGCGUGAGUGACGGAAAGGGUAAAGAAGCACCGGCUAACUACGUG
rnacentral:rRNA from 1 species